CCAUGGAUGUGUCCCAAACUAGAGUGAUGGAAACAAAUCAGACUUCAAACUUGGGAUAUUCCCAGUGAUUCCAAAGAAGGUGAUUGUCCUGAACCACUCUGGGCAGAUCCACGCUGGCUACUCCCCUGUGCUGGACUGUCAUACAGCCCACGUCUCCUGCAAGUUUGCCCAACGGAGGGAAAAGAUUGACCGGCACUCUGUCAAGAAACUGGAGGAGAACCUCAAGGCUCUGAAGGCUGUUUUACAGUGUGGGACAUGAGACAAGCAGAAGCUGUUAGAGUCAUCAAGGCUGUGGACAAGAAGUCCUCCACUGCUGGCAAGGUCACCAAGUCUGCAGCAAAAGCCAGCAAGAAAUGAAGCCCACCCUCCUCUCUGUAGUGUCCUCAGCUCCCCCUUCCCCCCAAUAACUAAACAUUCAAUGAGUGUAUG